GGCAAUCUCCCAAGGCCUUGUUCAGAGAUUUUUUUUUUCCCCUGCAUAAAGCAGGAGAAAUACUGAACUUCUUCCAAGAUAUGCAGACAUCAAGGCUCAGAGAAGUCAAGGAAAUCACUCAAACAUACACAGAUUCCUGUCAAGAGUCUUCCCAAGACUGAGGAUUUCUUUCCCUGCAGUAUGGAGAGACGAGGGCUGGACUGGAUCAACAUACAGGGGUUUAGAUCACAUUCAGCCACCAAGCAGCUGGACCUGCUGGAAUGAUCCUCCUCUCAUUCUCCUCUGGCAAAAUCCUGCUCAUCUUUCAAGACUCAGCCCAAAUCCCAGCUCCUCUAGGAAGCCUUCAUGGACUCCCCCCAGAGAGUCUCUGGAUUCUCACACAUUUUGCUGUAUGUCUUUUAUAGUUUUUUAGCUGUUUCAUAAUUUUGUUUUCCUAGCACCUAGUACAAUACUUGACUAGGUAAAUGAUUAAUGAACAAGCAGUGCUCCUAGGCAGUUCAUAUACUCUCUUUGGUACUGGUUUUCUUCAUCUAUAAAAGGAAGACAUCAGGCUAUUUCUCAAGGUCCCAUCUGGUUCGAAUGUUCCUUGAAUAUAUCUUCAGUUACCAAUAUUCUGCCCAGGCCUUUUCCAGGCGUAGAGCAGACAGGGUUCUGUCAUAUCCCCUUUGUACCCUCUAUUCAUCUGAUUCCCCUCACAUAUCCUGGCUAUAUCUUUUCCACAAGCCCUUGCACUCAACUACUAGUCAAUAGUAUUAGGGUUAAGACACAGGGCCUGGAGACAGACUGAAAUCAAGCAUUGGCUCUAGCACUAACUAAUAUGACUUGAGAAUGUUAGUUAACCUCUUGAUUCCCUAAUUUUAAAAUAGAGAUGAUAAUAACAAUGACUUGCCUUCCUAGUAUGUCUAACACAGGCUCUGACCAAUCAGAAUGGAUCCAGGCUUAAACAACCUGCACAGAUACACUGAGCACAGGAUGCCUUCCCCCAACCUUGUAGCCUUCCAGUGCUGAGUCUGUUGUAGCCAUUGACUGAUAUUUUUGAGAAGAAAUCAAAUAAGGGCUUAACAAAAGAUGCUCCCCCUCCCUAGGAAUUUUAAAUAAGGCCUUGGAGGUGGGACAAUUCAGAUAGUUGAAGUCCAGUCCCAAGAAGGCUCACCUUAAGAAGAUUUCCAAGCUUCGUUGAUUUCACUUUGGCAAUGAAUGGCCAAGCUUUGGAACCUACUCCUCCUAGUUUGUGAACAGAAUAUAUGUCUACUUAUUAUCAGAAAAUAAUAUUA